UGGGGAAUUUUGCGCAAUGGGCGAAAGCCUGACGCAGUAACGCCGCGUGGAGGAUGAAGGCCUUCGGGUUGUAAACUCCUGUCAGGGGGAACGACGGAGCAAGGGUGACAAACCUUUUCCUCCAGACGGUACCUCCAAAGGAAGCCCCGGCUAAUUCCGUGCCAGCAGCCGCGGUAAUACGGAAGGGGCGAGCGUUGUUCGGAAUCAUUGGGCGUAAAGGGCGCGUAGGUGGUUCUGUAUGUCUACCGUGAAAGCGUACGGCUCAACCGUAUUUUGUCGGUAGAAACUGCAGGACUUGAGGCUGGGAGGGGCUGGUGGAAUUCCCUGUGUAGCGGUGAAAUGCGUAGAGAUAGGGGAGAACACUCGUGGCGAAGGCGGCCAGCUAGACCAGUUCUGACACUGAGGCGCGACAGCGUGGGGAGCAAACA
rnacentral:rRNA from 1 species